AGCUUUGCGCAGUGGGCAAUAUCGUAGCCAAUGAGGUUUAUCCAAGGCGCAAUUAUUGCUAAAAGAAUCCUGAUUAAACAUACUUCUAUAAAAAUAAACAGGUGUUGGGGGCACCUGGGUAGCACCUAGGUGGCACAGUUGGCAAUCAACUCUUGGUUUUGCCUUAGGUCA
rnacentral:snRNA from 1 species